GACAGGAGUCUAACCUGUGUCUGGGGGAUCAAAACCCCCCGUAAUCCCAUUUCACUACUCUCUA
rnacentral:tRNA from 1 species